rnacentral:rRNA from 1 species
AUGAAAUGGGUGUCUGAUUUGAUUCUGACUGGUCCAAAAGGAUGGGACGAGAAUUUGGUUAGGCACCUAUUUUACCCACAUGAUGCAGAAGAGACCCUUCGGCUGCGUAUUCCAUCUUCAGGGGAAGGUGAUUUUGUUGCAUGGCGCUUUGAGAAGACGGGGAUGUUUUCAGUUAAAAGCGCGUACAAGCAUGCACUCACGUUAAAGGAACAAAAAGAAGACGAGGGGCAAUACAGAGAUGCAACAUUGGGGGAGAGGAAAAUUUGGGACAUCAUCUGGAAGGCCAAUGUUCCUCAGAAGAUCCAUAUUUUUGCAUGGCGGGUUGCUACCAAUAGUUUGGCUGUCCAAGUAAACAGAAUGGCGCACCACCAAGCGGUUCUCAGUACGUGCUCGAUAUGUGGAGUGGAGGACGAGAAUAUGUUUCAUGCGCUUAUUAUUUGCCCGAAGGCUCAUGCGUUGUGUAUGGCCAUGAGAGAUAUUUGGGAGUUACCUACGGAGGAUGCAUUCAGUUCAGAUGGGUUGGAAACCCCACCUUCUGGUUAUAUCAACAUUAAUGUCGACGAGCUUUUUGAAAAGUAUUAG